rnacentral:tRNA from 1 species
GGAGGGGUGGCCGAGCGGUUGAAGGCACCGGUCUUGAAAACCGGCAGGCGCGGAAGCGUCUCGUGGGUUCGAAUCCGACCCCCUCCGCCA